UACGUAGGAGGCGAGCGUUGUCCGGAAUUACUGGGCGUAAAGCGCACGUAGGCGGAUAUUUAAGUCAGGGGUGAAAUCCCGGGGCUCAACCCCGGAACUGCCUUUGAUACUGGGUAUCUCGAGUCCGAGAGAGGUGAGUGGAAUUCCGAGUGUAGAGGUGAAAUUCGUAGAUAUUCGGAGGAACACCAGUGGCGAAGGCGGCUCACUGGCUCGGUACUGACGCUGAGGUGCGAAAGCGUGGGGAGCAAACAGG
rnacentral:rRNA from 1 species